rfam:Fukomys damarensis contig117427, whole genome shotgun sequence.
AAAGGUGUAACUCAGUGAUAGAGUGCUUGCCUGGCAUGUGUGAAGCUCUGGUUUCAAUUCCUAGCACCUCAA